rnacentral:rRNA from 1 species
GAUGAACACUAGCUACAGGCUUAACACAUGCAAGUCGAGGGGGCAGCGGGAUUGAAGCUUGCUUCAAUUGCCGGCGACCGGCGCACGGGUGAGUAACGCGUAUCCAACCUUCCGUACACUCAGGGAUAGCCUUUCGAAAGAAAGAUUAAUACCUGAUGGUAUCUUAAGCACACAUGUAAUUAAGAUUAAAGAUUUAUCGGUGUACGAUGGGGAUGCGUUCCAUUAGGUAGUAGGCGGGGUAACGGCCCACCUAGCCAACGAUGGAUAGGGGUUCUGAGAGGAAGGUCCCCCACAUUGGAACUGAGACACGGUCCAAACUCCUACGGGAGGCAGCAGUGAGGAAUAUUGGUCAAUGGACGAGAGUCUGAACCAGCCAAGUAGCGUAGAAGGAUGGAAGGUCCUACGGAUUGUAAACUUCUUUUAAUAAGGGAACUAAACCCUCCCACGUGUAGGAGCUUGUAUGUACCUUAUGAAUAAGCAUCGGACUAACUCCGUG